rnacentral:rRNA from 2 species
UGGGGAAUAUUGCACAAUGGGCGCAAGCCUGAUGCAGCGACGCCGCGUGGGGGAUGAAGGCCUUCGGGUUGUAAACCCCUUUCAGCAGGGAAGAAGCGAAAGUGACGGUACCUGCAGAAGAAGCGCCGGCUAACUACGUGCCAGCAGCCGCGGUAAUACGUAGGGCGCAAGCGUUGUCCGGAAUUAUUGGGCGUAAAGAGCUCGUAGGCGGUUUGUCGCGUCUGCUGUGAAAACCCGAGGCUCAACCUCGGGCUUGCAGUGGGUACGGGCAGACUAGAGUGCGGUAGGGGAGACUGGAAUUCCUGGUGUAGCGGUGGAAUGCGCAGAUAUCAGGAGGAACACCGAUGGCGAAGGCAGGUCUCUGGGCCGCAACUGACGCUGAGGAGCGAAAGCAUGGGGAGCGAACAGG